rnacentral:rRNA from 1 species
UAGGGAAUCUUCGGCAAUGGACGAAAGUCUGACCGAGCAACGCCGCGUGAGUGAAGAAGGUUUUCGGAUCGUAAAACUCUGUUGUUAGAGAAGAACAAGGACGUUAGUAACUGAACGUCCCCUGACGGUAUCUAACCAGAAAGCCACGGCUAACUACGUGCCAGCAGCCGCGGUAAUACGUAGGUGGCAAGCGUUGUCCGGAUUUAUUGGGCGUAAAGCGAGCGCAGGCGGUUUCUUAAGUCUGAUGUGAAAGCCCCCGGCUCAACCGGGGAGGGUCAUUGGAAACUGGGAGACUUGAGUGCAGAAGAGGAGAGUGGAAUUCCAUGUGUAGCGGUGAAAUGCGUGGAUAUAUGGAGGAACACCAGUGGCGAAGGCGGAUCUCUGGUCUGUAACUGACGCUGAGGCUCGAAAGCGUGGGGAGCAAACAGG